CAUAUUGCUGCUUGGAGCUUUGUGGAAUUCCACCUUCCUCCCCCAUUCGUUGCGGGUCAUUAACCCCUUUCUCUUAUUCUUCCUAUUAUCAUUCUUGCUCAGCUUGCAGAGAUUUUAUUUGAAAUUCAAAAUCAAAUAAAUAUUUAGGAGAAUACAAAAGCUACCUAAAGUUGCAGAGAUUUUCUAAAUUUUUGUUGCCUCUAGAUCCAAAGAAGGGAAACCAUAGUUUCUUCUUCAUUUCUUCACGGUUCUUUUUCAAGGAAGGCAAGGAGAUUCAUUUCUCUUUCCAAAUCGCAUUUUUAGAUCUGAGCAGAGUUAGGUGAGUGCUAUUUUUUUUUUAAAAAAAAGAAGAUUUAAUGUCUUUGUUCUCUAAUUCUAACCAACAAUUUUUUUUAUGUCAGGAUGUAGAUGAUUUGGUUGGAUAUGUUCCUCCAGUGAGACUUGAUGUUGUAUUUUCUAUGUGGAAUUCAAAAAAGAGUUGGUUGUUGAUUCUUCAGGUUUUUCCUUUCUUAUGAUAUUCUAUAAAGUGACUGAUUCUUUAUAGCUAAAGAAGUAACAAUUUUGAUUCUGUGAAUUUUGAAUAAUUGAAAAGAAAUCUUUAGUUGUGUAUGAAUGCUGAGCCAAAUUGCUUUAUGUUUCAAAUCUUCUAAAACCCCCCAUUUUCAUGAUAUAUACAACAGUGUAAUAUCAUGUAAUAAUGAAAUAUUGUUCCCCUAUGUAUUCAUUCUGCUUUAUUUCUCUAGGUCAUAUCCUCAAAUUAGGUAUUAGCAACUUUUUUAAAUUAAUAACCUUUCUUUCGUUGCUUGGAAGUUCGCAGAAGGUGGGAAAACAUUGUUGUUCAACCUUUUCAAAGGCUAUAUUAGCAAUGUAAUCUGCUAAUGAAUUUCCCUCUCUGAAAACAUGUUGAAGCCUCACUUGACAUAACUGAGCUAGAUCCUUAAUGUCUCCUAUUAUAGUAGAAAUCAACCAGGGAAUCUUCUAAACUCCAGAAAGAAUAUGAACCAUAAUUGAAGAAUCAGUCUUCAAAAUCACCUUAUUGAGGCUCAUAGAAACACAAUGAUAAAUGAUAUUUUCGAUUGCAAUUGCUUCUUCCUCAGUAUCUGUUGUCUCAUGAAUUUCCUCCCUUUGAGCAUAUAUUAGAUCUCCUUUAUGAUUCCUUAAACAAUAACCAUAGGAACUCUUGUGGGGAUUGUCUCUAGACGCGCCAUAUGUAUUACAUUUAAACACUUUCCGUCAGGUGGUUUUCAUGUGUUAGCUAAAGAGAAAAGUUUAGGUUAAUAGUUUUGCAGUAAAACCACCAUGUCUAGCCAGUUGGUAGGUACUUGAUUAAUAGGGCAAGUGAUUUUUACUAGUCUUCAUAUACUUGGGGUCACCUGAUAAACAAGACUAUUGUAUGACAAUUUCUUCCCAUUCUUAAUGUUAUUUCUCCUUUUUCAUAAUUCAUAAAUGCCACAUAACUAUUGUUGGAAUAGCCAAACUUAUAGAUCUCAGUUUUGGACAGAAUGGUGUUGUCCACCACUGAAUGAUCACCUGUGAAAGUUGUAGGUCAUCUAAAUGUAUUCUUACAAAAAAUAGCAAACUGCCUCCACAACUUUACGAGCACCCGAUCACUUGCCUAAAAACACUUUUAAUUACUAAUCAAAAUAUUUAUAUUUCAUAAUUAGGAAAAUAUGGUUAAAUAGGUUUAUUUGUAUGCUAAGUAAAAGUUAUAAGAUGAAAUUUAUGUAAUUCUACCUACUAUCUUGAUCACUAAUCGUAUCUUUCUUAAUUAAAUAAAACUUAAAUAAGUUUCAUUGUUCUUUAAAUGUAUGAAUUAAAUUAAAUGUAUUUUUUAAAUUGAAAAAUGUGAUCCUACCUAAAUUAAUUUUUAGGAUACUGAUUUUUGUAAAUCCAUUUUUUGACUGCACGAAGCAUGAGUAUAUUUACUAGAUAUUAUAUAUUUUUGUUAAUUUGAGUUGAAAGAUGAGUAUUUCGGUACAUAUUACACUAUUGAUCUUCUUUUGCUUCACUCUCUUUCGACCCUCUUAGACAUCCUCCAUGAAAAGUAGAACUCUCUUCAACCUUGCUUAGCAUAUAGUAGUCAAUCAUUAUAUAGUUAAACAAAUAGAGAUAAAUGAACAAGUCAAUUAUAUAAAAGCGUAACAAGAAUUCUUUUUACAAAAUGUUUUAUCAAAACUCUAGAAAAUAAUAUAGCUGCUCAUAAUAGAGUUUAAGAACCUAAUAUAGAUUUACAUAAAAAAGAAUAAGUACUAAAAGAGUAGAAGUGAAUGAAACUCUAGGGGGAAUUGCAAGUUAUGCUCUUCCCCUCUUUCUUGCCCCCCAAAAGCUCCAAAACUGCAAAAGCAGUGUCCCCCUUAGGCCAUCAAGUUAAUGCACUAUUUAUACCGCACAUAUUUACUCUGUGGAUAACAAUAUCUUUCAGUCAAAAUAAAUCCAAACUCAGUAAUUUUUGGUCAUACACGAAGCGGUAUGGGUAGUGUGGCCAUGUUGUGCAUGGUUGACUCCGGUAACUCUCUUUUUAGCCUUGAUCCAUGUUUUCCUCUUGGCGCAGCGCGGGCCUGGUAGCAUGACCAUGCUGCAUACGACUUGUUGUUGAACUCUCACAAUUCUCUUGACAUUUUUAUGUCCAUUUGACUCUCGACUCUCAGACUCAAUCUUGAUCACAUUCCUCAUGCCUCUAUUCCGACUUUGAAGCUUCAUAACACUUCAUUUUUUUUCUUCAAACAUGCCUAUUAGCUCUAACAAAACUUUUAUGCAAAGAAGCACACGUAAUAAGCACAUAAUGAUUAUAAAAAUGAUUAAAUGAUGGUAGAAAAAUACAUAUGAAGACUUUAUGACAAUUAAAUGUAUGUAUUUUAUACUGAAUAUCAGUUAUCAUCAACGUCUUAUUUUUCUUUUUAAUUUGUUUGAAAAGAACUUCAUGUUCGAUAUUAGUAAAAUCUUCAUGAUUUUUUUUUUGCAUUAUAUAUACUUACCAUAUAUUACAUGGUCAAGAUUACUAGAUUUGAGGCGCAAUGAGAUUAUGUUUUUAAAAUCUCAAAUUUAAAAUAAGAAUAUUUUAGAGUCUUUUUCCCAUUCUUCAAUAUUUCAUCUGCACGUCAUUUUCAUUUUUGUGUGCUUCAACAACCAUAAUCCCUCUUUAUUCCUGUCAAAAAAUCAUCUUUUUUGGUUAUUUUGUUCAAAGCUCAUUCCUCCUUCAUUUUGUUUUAGAGUUUUCACAAAUUUUUUCAUUCAGAAAAAUAUUCUUUUUUCAAGAAGUAAGUAAAAAUGUUGUCACAUAAAAAUGAAAUACCACCUCCACUUGAUUUUCCAAGACCUUUGACUUAGAUUUCAUCUAGAGAUAGUACUGAUGAUAUUGAUACUAUAAUCACAAGCAAACAUCAAUGCCAAUUUGGUGAUUGGACUUCUCUUUGUAGGAGGUGCAUUUUAAGAAAAAGAGGAUUUCCAAAAUCUCUUUAGCCCCACUUAUUCACGCCUUUCUCCAUGACCUCACGAUCAUAAAGAUUUUGGAAAUCCCUUUUUCUUGAAUUGUGCCUCCUACAAAGAGAAGUAAUCACUAGCUUUGCAUUGAUGAUCGUGUGUGAUUAUAGGAUCAUCAAUACUAUUUGUAGAUGAAAUCUUAAGCAAAGGUUUUGAAAAAACAGGUGGAGGUGGAGGUGAUGUUUCAUUUUUCUGUGAUGACAUUCUUACUUCUUCUUGAAAAGAGAAAUUCUUUCAGGAUGGAAAAUGAGUGAUAGCUCUAAUGCAAAACGAAUAAGGAAAGAGCUCUGAGAGAGAAAGAUGACUGAAAAAGAUAAUUUCUUGAUAGGAAAUGUUCAAAAAAAAAAGAUAAUUUCUUGACAGGAAUAAAGACGGAUUUUGGUUGUUGAAGCACACAAAAAUUAGAAUGAAGUGCAGAUGAAAUAGUGAAGUGUGGGAAAAAUACUCUAGAAAUAUUCUUAAUUGAAAUUUGAGAUUUUAAUAAUAUAAUCUCAUUGUACCGCAAAUCUAGUGCCAAAAUAUUAACAUUUAGUAGUACAAUAUUUUCCUUAUAUAUAGAUGGAGUCUUAAUUAAGUAAACUGUAUAUAUGUUUGUAUAAUUCAUAAAAAUAGUUCUAUUUGUGCAAGGAGGCAAUCCUAAGGUUUGUAUUUUCCCAAGAAGUACAAUAUUUAAUAAAUUAAUAUUUCUCCUUUCCUUUUUUGUUUUAGUUUGCUUAUGUAUCGUUCAACUUCAAUUAUUUAAAUUUACUUUGAAGGAGGAACAUUCUUUUUCUGUAAGAUUGUCCCUUUAUAAGAGACAUAAGUAUUUGAUUUUUAAAAAUAGUGAAAGAAAACUACACACCAACAAUUAUUUCUAGAAACCUGGUUCCUAUAGUCAUAUUAGAACAAAAGUAAUUAACACUUGAUAUUUUCGUAGAAAACUUCCUUGCUCAAGGGAAUAAAAAAAUCAUGACCUACAGUGUGUAGGAUUUUAAGCAACCUCCACUAACUUCAAAGAGCGAUUUCAAAUUACAACUCUAUUUUCUAAGAGAAUAACUCUAGUACCUCAACUCAACAGUUAACUCUAAUUGUUCUAACAAUUCUCUAAGAAGAUAAGCCCUCUUCUUGUUACAAACCUCACUAACUACUCUCCAAGAAGUCAAACUUUCUUCUUGUUACAAUAUUCACUAACUACUCUUCAAGAAGUCAAACUCGCUUCUUGUUACAAACCUCACUAACUACUCUCCAAGAAGUCAAACUUUCUUCUUGUUACAAUAUUCACUAACUACUCUUCAAGAAGUCAAACUCGCUUCUUGUUACAAACCUCACUAACUACUCUCCAAGAAGUCAAACUUUCUUCUUGUUACAAUAUUCACUAACUACUCUUCAAGAAGUCAAACUCGCUUCUUGUUACAAACCUCACUAACUACUCUCCAAGAAGUCAAACUUUCUUCUUGUUACAAUAUUCACUAACUACUCUUCAAGAAGUCAAACUCGCUUCUUGUUACAAACCUCACCCACACAACUACUCUCUUUAGUCUAGGAAUUAUUACAACUCAAUAAUAAAUCUAGAACAAUUCAACAAAGACUAAUAACUCUAGCCUUUUUCUAAUCAAACUUCAAUAUUCAAUAGGACAGACUUGAACAUAAAUCGUGAACCAUGUUCCUGUAUUAUUAUGAUGAAGUCCUAUAGUUUUGUUCUAAUGACUAUUGCUAUCAAGAUGAUAUCAUUGAGUACUAAGCAAGAUACUUUAUGGAUCAAAUGGAUACACAAUUUAUAUAUAAAAGACAAGACACUUGAUUCCAUGGUGACACUCAAUUCUCAGUUGUAUGGAGGAAAAGAAGAAUCAUACAAAAUUAGAAAUACGAGAAGAGAUGGAUUUCAAGAAAGGCUGCUGGUACAAGCCCAAAAGCUGGUAUUCUGGGGUUCCUCUUCGCAACAACUACGGGACGAACGAAAUGCUAGAAAGUGGUUCAUGAUGCUGGCC
rnacentral:lncRNA from 1 species